AUGAAGGUGGUGAACCUGAAGCAAGCCAUUUUGCAAGCUUGGAAGGAGCGAUGGAGUGACUACCAAUGGGCAAUCAACGUGAAGGGCCACCUGUGACAUUCUCAAUCUGGCAGAUGCACUGCGGGAGCAGGCCAUGCCUGGGCCUUCUCCCCGUCCUCUCAUCCUGUCUUGUCUGAAGUAUGCCGUUAGCUCUCACAUGGUGUCCUCCUCUUCUGUCCUCACGGCUAUCAGUAAGUUUGAUGACUUUUCCUGGGACCUGUGCGUCCAGGCUUUGCUGGAUAUCAUGGAUAUGUUUUGUGACUAUCUGAGCUGUCACUGAGCCUCUGUGGAGCGGCUCCAGGAGGGGCUGGAGGCUGGCUCUCCUGCUACAGGGGAGAAGCAGCUUGCCAUGUGCCUGCAGCGACUGGAGAAGACCCCCAGCAGCGCCAAGAACCGGGACCAGCUCCACAUCGCCAAACUAGAGGAGGCCUCUUCCUGGGCUGCUAUCGAGCAUUCUCUCUGGAAGCCUGGGGAGAUCCUGGCUGGUCUCAGUAACCCCCAGCUCCGGAGCCAGGCUGAGCAGUGUGGCACUCUUAUUAGGAGCAUCCCCACAAUGCUGUCUGUGCACACAGAGCAGCUGCAUAAGAUGGGCUUCCCUACUGUCCACUCCUUGGUCCUGCUUGAGGGGACCGUGAGCCUGACAGGAGAGACACAGCCACUGGCGGAGCCGCUGAUGAUGGUGAGGUGCAUGCAGCACAUCCCACUCCACUCUCUGUCCCGGAGAUCUGAAAACUUGCUUCGUGGGUCUCACCGAGUCUCCCAAAGGCACAGGGGGGCUCAAGCGGAUGGCUUUCACCUUCCUCGGAUCCCACCGGUUUUGGUGAAGUUAAGGAAGUUCUGUCACAGGGACAGGGACUUCGCUGAGGAUGUCACUCUGCUUUGGAGUACCUGCUGAAGCGCACGCCCUUGUUGGGCAAAGCUGGCCAGCGCGGCAGCUGUGACUGUACAGAUUUCCUGCCUCAAGAAUGUGACAAGCAGGGGCUUCUGUCCGAAGCCAACGUGGACAACCUCACGGCUAAGCGCAACGCUGACCGGGAACGUGCCUCUCAGCAGAAGUUGGGAGAAAACACCAACAUCCAGCUGAAUCCUGGGCUGAUCCUCGGUGGAGCCUGCUGUCACAGACAUCCUCAAGAUGAUUUGAGGCAGACCGCUCCAAGUCCCUGGAGGACCUGCUGGGGGUCCUGGGCCACGUGCUCUCCGGGAAGAGUCUGGACGUGUUGCUGCUGCCACGGGGGAGCUUAAACCCUUCACCCGGAAAUUCAUCGGUUCGCAUGGAUUCACGACUGAUGGCAGUGAAGAAAACACCACACCCGCUUCACUUCGGGCCUUGCUUCUCGACCUCUCCUUCCUCAUGCGGUACCACGUGGCCCUGACCUAUGGCUCAGAGGUGAUUCUCUCCGAGCCGCGCACAGGAGCAGAGGUGCCCUUCUUCGAGACCUGAGUGCAGACCUACAUGCCCGAGGAGGGCACAAGCCUGAGCCGCGACCACCCUUGCCUGCGGCCCGACUCCGCCGAAGUGGAGUCCUUGGUGGCCCUGCUCAACUACUCCUCGGAGAUGAAGCCGGUGCAGAUGGAGUGGCAGGAAGCCUGUCUCGGCAUUUCAGCUGCCGUCUUGGGAAUCCUCAGCGCUGGGGAGAACGGGGUCCUGGCCUUCGAGUCCAUCCAGAAAAUCGCUGAUGACAUCAAGGGAAAGGUGUGCAGUCUCGCGGUGUGUGCUGUGGCUUGGCUUGUGACCCACGUCUGGAUGCUGGGACGGGAUGAACGUGAGAAGUCGCUGCAGAUGAUCCGCCAGCUGGCAGGGCCACUGCACGGUGAGGACACCCUUGCAGUUCUGCAAUGAGAGGGUGGUGAUCAUGAGCUCCAUCCUGGAGCACAUGUGGGCCGGCCUGCUACAGCAGAUGGCCAUGCAGAUCAAGUUCCCCUUCAUGGGGGUGGACGCCAUGCCCUACUGGAACCUGCUGCCCCCCAAGCGGCCCAUCAAGGAAGUGCUGAUGGACAUCUUUGCCAAGGUGCUGGAGAAGGGCCAGGUGGACAGCUGCUCCAUCCACAUCUUCGACACUCUGCUACACAUGGGUGUGUCUGCUGGUUUUGCAACAACCUGGUUAAGGAGCUACUAAAGGAGACACGGAAGGAGCACACGCUGCGGGUGGUGGAGCUGCUUUACUCCAUCUUCUGUCUGGACAAGCAGCAAGUGACUCUAGUCCUUCUGGGCCACAUCCUGCCUGGCCUGCUCACUGACUCCUCUAAGUGGCACAGCCUCAUGGACCUCCCUGACACUGCCUUGCCAUGCUGGCAGUGUGGUGUGCCCUGAGUUCCUACUCCUCCCACAAGGCACAGGCAUCCACCUGGCAAAAGAAGAGACACCGCGAAGACAUUGAGGAUUAUUACAUCAGUCUCUUCCCUUCAGACGACAUGCAGCCGUCAAAGCUGAUGUGACUGCUGAGCUCCAGUGAGGACGACACCAAUGUCCUCUCAAGCCCCACUGACAGGUCCAUGAGCAGCUCCCUCUCGGCCUCCCAGCUGCACAAGGUCAACAUGAGGGACCCUCUGAACUGCGUCCUGGCCAGCCUGUUCCUGCUCAUCUCCUCUAUCCCGGGCUGCGGACCGCCAGCCCCCCACCAGUUCGUGCAGUGGUUCACGGAGGAGUGUGUGGACUGCCUGGAACAGCUCAGCCGGGGCAGCGUCCUGCAGUUCAUGCUCUUCACCACCGUAUUGGAACUGGUGAAGGUGUCAGCUAUGUCCAGCCCCAAAGUGGUCCUGGCCAUCAUGGACCUCAGCCUGUCCCUGGGCUGCCAGGUGGCUGCCAAAGCCAUUGCCAUGCUCUGAGGGGCUCAGCGUGGCCCAGGGGCCAG